AAAAAAAAGGGUGAUUUUCAACCAUGUCACUGGUUAUUUGAUAAAUCAUAAAUAAGUGUUGUAAACUUUGUGGAGGAAUUUAUUUUCAAUAUAUACUGGUAAAAAGGUUGUCUUAAGCAUGGUUUAAAAUCUGUAAUCUCUCCUGCUACCAUCCUUUAGAGAAACACUACCAAACACCACUACUAUUACAGUAAUGUAGUGGCUAUGGUGCCGUGCCUGGAGUACCACACCCUCAAUGUAAGCAGCCAAACCGUUUUUGGAAUGGUUUGUCUUCUUACCUGGAGCCAGCCUACCUUUACUACAACCUCCUUUCUAAAGACACUCUCUCUUUCUUAGCAAAGCCUGGCAAUGCAAGGCUUAGGUCAUUGGCUGAGGGCAAUCAGCUCACGCUCUCAUUCAGUGUGCUCUCCUGAAGACUGAACCAAGAUUGGGAGCGUUGUCUGGCAAGAAGUCAAGCCAAUUCAAAACUGUUUGACUGCUUACAAAAUGCUGUGUUUGGAGUGUUCCUUUAGGAACCUCUGUAGGUUAGGAAACAUGUAGGCAAAAAUGAGGAAUGAAGCUGGUAAAAGCAUUACUGAGCACGAUUAUCUCAAGUGAGAAGUGAAUGGUCUAAUCUGUAGUUAUAGUAAUGGGCUCUGUGGACAAGAUUUGGAAUUGCAAUGCAUUUUAUGGGAAAGAGAAUUCGAUAGCUCAAGGGCAGAAAAAAAUUACAUCUUAUGUUUUCUCCUUUUCUAUCAAGAAUCGCAAAUGUUUCCCACCUUUAUAUAUGAAAGUGGUACAAUAUAAAAUAUAUAUAUUUUUGCUGCUCGAAGCUUUUAUACACCAAUGGCAGAAAUCCUUGACUUGCUAUCCUCCUUAGUUGAUGAAUUGGGCUAAAACCUAUCUUCACAUCCUCCUCAAACGUUAUGAUCACCAUCUUAAUCACAUUCCUUUUCUGUCCUGAGUCCCCUAAGGAAUAGUAAAGGAACAAUUACUUUUUAAUAUAUUCAUGUAAGUUUUUGACUUGGCAAUACAGAAGGAGAAAGAGGCCGUGUUUGAGAUUCUAUAAAAGUGUUACAGAAAUGUGUCUUUCUUUUUGUAUCACUUUAUUAUUUUUAUUUUAUAUAUAUAUAUAUGUUGCUAAUGUCUUCAGGCCCUCUAUCCAUAACUGAAUGUUACUAAGACAGGUUGUUUAAAUUGAGAUUGUUAUUUAUAAAAGAAAAAGAAAGAAAUGUACGGUCUGCUAAUUGCAAAAAUUCGAUUACAACAACAAAAAAAUCAAAGUAGUAAUACUUAAAACAAGCUGUUUUCUCAGUAAUUUUUCUCUGCAAAGUCUAAAAGAAUGGCAAGAGUGAGGACACUACACCUAUUUAACACUUUUAAAAAGUAGGCUUAUACUCUUAUUAGGGUACAGGUUUACAGACCAACCAAAUAAUAUGGGCAUUCUGCUUGCAGUUUCAUGUACUAUUAUUCUUUUAAAGCAUUUGGCUGUGAAUUAGUUAUAUUAAUGGUUAAUCUAAAUUUCGGAAGCUGGAAUUGUUUGCAAAAGUAGAAGUUGCUCAAUACGUUAUAAUGGACAAUGGAUUUGUGAUCACCUAAAAAAAAUCUCACGUGUGUGUUUAAUAUACACACAAGCGAACAUAAUGUGUGUGUGUGUGUGCAGUGCCCCUGCUGAGCAUGUGCUCAAUUUGAUACAGAUGUGAUAUGUCUGAUCUAGUGUACACUCACUACAAUGGAAUCCUCUGAACAAUCAAUGAUCCGUGGUGAUUCAGAAACACAAAUCUUGACAACUAGUUGCAUUUUUAGUGUUUCUAGUCAUCUGAGUUAGUGGGGAAAAGUCUAAUUAUUAAUGCAUGUAAUGGCUGCUAAUAAUGUACAGCGAGGGAGGAGACCAUCACAGUAUAUAUCUUGUGAAUCAGUGCUCAUUUGCAAAAUUCCAGAGUUUUACACACGCCUAAGGCCAGUGACUGCAUUACAACCAAAGGGACCUGCAGUAUAUUGAGCGAUUUGGUCCAGUAACCCAAAGGAUGAGUUAUUUCACUCAGGGAAGGGUUGUGCUCACCCUUCCACCCCACCCAACAAAUAUUAACGUUUUAAAGUGCCACUAACUGUGCAACACAAUGUGUUGAAAAUCAGUGGCAGUUUGAAGUUAAUUCACAGCUCAGAGCUCUUUUAAAGGUAAAUAAAUGAAUGUCUGUUUCCACUAUCCUCUUCAUGCCACUGUGUUUGUGUUUUGCUUGCUUGCAACAUAUCUUUUUGGAUUAGUCAGUGUUAGUUGUGCUGUAUUAAGAUGGAUCUAUAGAAAUACAAAUACAUCUGAACCACAUCCCAUUCCUCAUUUAGACAAAAUACUAUGUCAGUGCUGGUGUGAAGCAGGGUCUGUUCACGCAGUACCUGUAUGUCUAUGGAAUGAGAAGUUGGAGAUACAGAACUGCUAAGUGUCUGUUUGCAUUUGCUUUGUCUUGGCACCCAAAUCUUAACGGCACUUAUAAUAUUCAAUAGUUUGGUGUGUCACAGGGCAUAUGGAAAUGUGGAGACACCGCAUGGGGAAGGGUGUAAAAUAAUGAGACUUGCCGAUUAAACUUGUUCUUGUGACAACAGCAAUGAUCCAGGGUAUUAUAAAGUCCCAGCAAGGCACUGGUUAUUAAUUAUGUGGCUGUAAGAUCAAUUUGAUCCUAUGAUGGCCUAAUCUUUCUAGAAGGGAAAAAGUUAAUGCUACAUUAAACUGGUUCUUCAACCUUUUUAAAUAACUGUAAAAAGCUACAUGUUAGAAGUCCUUAUCUAAAUUUGAAAUUAAAUCUUUCCGUUAGAGUUCUUUUGUACCACAAUAAAUGUUGUUAAAAGGUAUUUAUCAGGAUGAGAUGUGUAGCAGAAGCUUCCCGGUGUUUAUCCUCAUAUUCUCACGAUACCAUGCACACACACAUCUUGGGGCUUUGUUUCAUUUGCAUAGAAUGCCAGCCUGUGUCAGGAAUGAUUUGCAUUUGACAAAAAUGCAAAUGUAGCCCCCCCCUCAUUUAAAAAAAAAAAGUACAUGUUUAAGUGUAACAUUAGGUUGGCUAUAAUAAUAUGCUAUUACAGUGACAUUUAGUUACCGUUCAUAUUUUAGGAGGGUAAAUCUUUGAGUUCAACAUACUUAUGGAUUUCCUCUAGUUAAGAGAUUUUUCAAGAAAAUAAA